AAAACGGUUCUUCUCAGAACCAUCAAUGUAACCAUCAUUAUACUA
rfam:Acyrthosiphon pisum strain LSR1 Contig26655, whole genome shotgun sequence.